AUCGCUUCCCGGCCUUUUGGCUAAGAUCAAGUGUAGUUUCUGUUCUUAAUCAGUUUAAUAUCUGACACGCCCUCUAUCCUAGAACAAUUAAAUGGAUUUUUGGAGCAGGGAGAUCGAAUUGGAGCUUGCUCCGUCCACUCCACGCAUUGACCCGGUAUUGCAUUGCCUCCGGGAAUGGUGCACACACU